rnacentral:rRNA from 1 species
GAUAAACGCUGGCGGCGUGCAUGAGACAUGCAAGUCGAACGAACGAGCUUGCUCGUUAGUGGCGGACGGCUGAGUAACGCGUAGGUGACCUGCCCCGAAGUGGGGGAUAACUGCCCGAAAGGGUGGCUAAUACCGCAUGUGGCGACACGUUCAUUCGUGUCAUCAAAGCCGCGAGGCGCUUCGGGAGGGGCCUGCGUCCGAUUAGCUCGUUGGUGGGGUAAUGGCUCACCAAGGCGACGAUCGGUAGGUGGUCUGAGAGGACGAUCACCCAGACUGGGACUGAGACACGGCCCAGACUCCUACGGGAGGCAGCAGUCGGGAAUUUUGCUCAAUGGGCGAGAGCCUGAAGCAGCAACGCCGCGUGAGGGAUGAAGGCCUUCGGGUUGUAAACCUCUUUUCUCAGGGACGAUGAUGACGGUACCUGAGGAAUAAGUCACGGCUAACUACGUGCCAGCAGCCGCAGUAAAAC